rnacentral:rRNA from 1 species
GACGAACGCUGGCGGCGUGCUUAAUACAUGCAAGUCGAACGGAAAGGCCCUGCUCUUGCGGGGCGCUCGAGUGGCGAACGGGUGAGUAACACGUGAGUAACCCGUCCUUGUCUUUGGGAUAACUUUAGGGAACUGGGGCUCAUACCGGGUAGGAUCUCCUGCUGCACGGUGGUGGUUGGUAAGAUUCGGCGGUUGGGGCUGGUAUCGCGGGAUAUCAGCUUGCUGGUGGGGUAGUGGGUGACCAAGGCUUUGACGGGUAGCCGGCCUGGGCGGGUGACCGGCGACAUUGGGACUGAGAUAAGGCACAGACACCGAAGCGAGGGAGCAGUGGGGAAUAUUGCCCAAUGGGCGGAGGCCUGAUGAAGCAGCGCCGCGUGCGGGAAGACGGCCUUAUGGGUGUAAAACGCUUUCGCCUGUAACGAAGCGUGAGUGACGGGAAUGGGUAAAGAAGCACCGGCUAACUACGUG